rnacentral:ribozyme from 1 species
GGAAGUGCAAGCCCUGUAACGGGAUAUGAUCCGAAAUCUCCUGGAGAUUCCAUCCAACUCCAAUUCUGACACGUCCACGUCAUGCAGGGUGGCAACAUGGGCCCAAGUCCAACUCAGGCGGA